UACGUAGGGUGCGAGCGUUGUCCGGAAUCAUUGGGCGUAAGGGCGCGUAGGUGGCCCGGUCAGUUCGUGGUGAAAGCGCGGGGCUCAACCCUGCGUCGGCCAUGAAUACUGCCGCGGCUGGAGCACUGUAGAGGCAGGCGGAAUUCCGGGUGUAGCGGUGGAAUGCGUAGAGAUCCGGAAGAACACCGGUGGCGAAGGCGGCCUGCUGGGCAGUGGCUGACACUGAGGCGCGACAGCGUGGGGAGCAAACAGG
rnacentral:rRNA from 1 species